rnacentral:rRNA from 1 species
CACGAACGCUGGUGGCAGGCUUAACACAUGCAAGUCGAGCGCCCCGCAAGGGGAGCGGCAGACGGGUGAGUAACGCGUGGGAAUCUACCCAUCUCUACGGAAUAACGCAUGGAAACGUGUGCUAAUACCGUAUACGUCCUUCGGGAGAAAGAUUUAUCGGAGAUGGAUGAGCCCGCGUUGGAUUAGCUAGUUGGUGGGGUAAAGGCCUACCAAGGCGACGAUCCAUAGCUGGUCUGAGAGGAUGAUCAGCCACACUGGGACUGAGACACGGCCCAGACUCCUACGGGAGGCAGCAGUGGGGAAUUGUUCGCAAUGGGCGCAAGCCUGAUCCAGCCAUGCCGCGUGAGUGAUGAAGGCCUUAGGGUUGUAAAGCUCUUUCACCGGUGAAGAUAAUGACGGUAACCGGAGAAGAAGCCCCGGCUAACUUCGUGCCAGCCGCCGCGGUAAAAC